rnacentral:snRNA from 1 species
GCUUUGAUUAAUAUACUAUUAAUAAAAUUGGAACAAUACAGAGAUUAGCAUGGCCCCUGCACAAGGAUGACAUGCAAAGUCAUGAAGCAUUCCAUAUUUUU